rnacentral:sRNA from 1 species
CAGUAUCUCAGCAACUUUUCCCAAACUCUGAAAUCGCAUACUACACAAUAUCGUGUGGGUGAGACCCUGCGUUCAGGUUCGAGCCGAGCGAAGCGAGACAGCAACGCGCCAGCGUUGACCCGAAGGGCGAGGCCAGAGGCCGAGUCAUCCCGCACGACCCACCA